rnacentral:rRNA from 1 species
UACGUAGGUGACCAGCGUUGUCCGGAUUUACUGGGCGUAAAGGGCGCGUAGGCGGUACUUCAAGUCAGGCGUGAAAGCCCCGGGCUCAACCUGGGAACCGCGCUUGAGACUGGAGAACUAGAGUUCGGGAGAGGAUGGUGGAAUUCCCAGUGUAGAGGUGAAAUUCGUAGAUAUUAGGAAGAACACCAGUGGCGAAGGCGGCUCACUGGUCCGGUACUGACGCUGAGGUGCGAAAGCGUGGGGAGCAAACAGG